rnacentral:rRNA from 1 species
ACGCUAGCGGCAGGCUUAACACAUGCAAGUCGAACGGUAACAGAAAAAGCUUGCUUUUUGCUGACGAGUGGCGAACGGGUGCGUAACGCGUAUGCAACCUACCUUCUUCUGAGGAAUAGCCCAGAGAAAUUUGGAUUAAUACCUCAUGAUAAUAUUUAUUCGCAUGUUUAAAUAUUUAAAGUUUUAGCGGAAGAAGAUGGGCAUGCGUGACAUUAGUUUGUUGGUGAGGUAACGGCUCACCAAGACUACGAUGUCUAGGGGGUCUGAGAGGAUGAUCCCCCACACUGGUACUGAGACACGGACCAGACUCCUACGGGAGGCAGCAGUGAGGAAUAUUGGUCAAUGGACGAAAGUCUGAACCAGCCAUGCCGCGUGAAGGAUGACGGCCCUACGGG